GGUUCCUAAAAUCAUGAAAAGCUUAUUAUUUCUUCAGUCAGUGUAUCUUCUGACUGUAAAUGUGCCAAAGUGCUUAUCUCUGACAAUUUCUGUACAAAUCUUGCUGUUUCUGGCUGUUAUCAGAUAGCUGACAUAUUUCUUCAGGUCUUCCUUUUUUUAAGUGCUCAAUUAAUAAGGUUCAUUGAGCAACUGCAAAUAACAGCGUCGAAAUGGUGCACAAGUGCAUAUCAGGUCUACCCAGCAUCUGAAAACAAAAAAGUGUCCUCCUAGGAGAAGGGAGUAAAAUGUGUACGUGUAUCAGGCAAUGUUAUUCUAGACGAGAGGAGCAAAUUGUGUCAAUGAGGAAUUGACGAAAAUAUUUGAUUAUAAUAUCGAGGUUAGGUUCCAUGGUCUUCUGGUCACAUUAUUGAUCGCACUGAAACUGCUUAUAUGUUAUUGGAGGAUCAAGACUUUGGCUUGACUUCUGCAGGUAACGAAUUUAUUCACCACUUCAUAUGUUUCUAGCUCUCUGAAUUUCUAUUUCGUCUCCAAAAUUUAAAUCAUUAUUUCUGCAAAUCAAUGAAAAUGUGUGGUUUCUCUGACAAAUGAAUAAUGCUCUUACCUAUGUUUCUGGACUGAUUUUUAUUUUUACCAGCUUGAUUUCCGCAGGUAACGAAUUUAUUUACCACUUCAUAUGUUUCUAGCUCUCUGAAUUUCUAUUUUGUCUCCAGAAUUUAAAUCAUUAUUUCUGCAAAUCAAUGAAAAUGUGUGGUUUCUCUGACAAAUUAGUAAUGCUCUUAUCUAUGUUUCUGGACUGAUUUUUAUUUUUACCAUGCUUUCAUAACUAGAAUAUUCUUCCCAGGUUAUUCUUACCAAUACAGCAUCUUUUUGUAUGCAAAUCAACGAAUUGAUCUCAGAAUUAUUGGUGCAGCGCAAGAGGUGGUGUGCCAAUCGCAUCUCAGAGAUAAUUGGGCGUCCACCGUCAUUGGCGAGUUAGGAUGCCAAGUUGAUCAACUACCCACAAAAAUCACAAUAUUUUUUCAAUCUUUAGCUCUGUUUCUGAACUCAUUGAAUUUACCAAAGUGCUCCUAAUCCAUAACGUGGGCUGCUCUUGACGUAACUAUUCCUAUAUGGAGUAGAGCCCCGGAAUGGGUGUUGUUCAUCCCUACAGCCACGGCAUCAAGGUAUUCUACGGUAUGCCUGCGACCUCCAUACACAGGUCCACCCAAUUAAAACUUUUAUGUGAAUAGGAGGUUCAAUAAACAGAUGUUUUUUCACGUCAUGCAUUAGCCAGUGUAGUUACUUGCUCUCUCCCACAGAUGAUUUGGAUGUUCUAUCUUGGUUCUUCUUAAUACAGGCUGCAUCUACUCUUUUGUCUGCAUUGUAUAUGUUAGUAUUUUGUGUAUCGGCAAGUGGAGGUACCAUUGUCCUCUGGAGAUUUUCUUCACUGAUGCAUCUCUUUCUCAAUAUCAAGCUGCAGGUCUUGGGAGUUCAUAUUUGUGCUACAACACCAUACAUCUCUGUAUGUAUUGAAGUGCAAGCUCAUAUUCUCUCUGCCAUCUUUAUAGCUGAUUCUUUCAUAUGAUUUUUGAAUUUAUUCACAAGUAAUUCCUCAAGAUCGUGCACCAUUUUCUUAUUUAUUCGAGCAUAAUGAAAAAUAUUUUAGUGUGCAGCUGGAUACCAUGGACUGUUGGUACAUUUGACCGUGCUAUCUCAAACAUCUAUACACUAGCCAGUGCAAUGCUUUCCAAUUUCAGUAUCUCAUCUUUCUCAACAACAGUAUUUUUCUCAGCUCCAAAAGUUCCAUGUGCACUGGAAGAAAGCUUUAAGUGGUAAUAUUCUCUAUUGCUUUUGGAUGGAUAAAUAUUCUCUUGCUACUCUAUGUAUCGAUGUAUCUAUGUUGCUAUGUACAACCUUUCUGAAACACUGUGCUACCCGUUGAGGACAAUAUUUUGCAUUGCUGAUACACUGAGAAAAACACUGCAUUUUAAUUUCCUCUAUAAGUCCACUUAGCUAUACAACUAACUGCGCUAAUUACUAAUCCAAGUCAUUACUAAUACUUGCAAGCUAUACUAGGCAAUCCGAAUUUUUUUUAUAUCAAUGGAUUAGAGAGCUCCGCCUUCAAAGUGCACGAAAACAAGCCCCGUCGACACUCUCAGGUGGACAAGAAGCACAAACAACUUACAUAUGUGAAACUGUGUUGUAAUCUGAUUUAUUUAUUGUUUUUACCACUAAUAUUUUACGUGCAAC